CGAACGUCAGGAAAGGUCGGUUGGUUCGCAGUGUGGCCAAACGGCCCAAUUAGCACAAGGCGAAGGGCCUCUGAACCCGGAUUGGCACCGUCUCUGCCUAUAGAGAGAGGGGGCGGGCCUGGGGGCGCUGAGGCCCCGCCCCGGAUGUGGGCAUGGCCCGAGCUGGAGCCCGGAGCCGCCGCCGCGCUGCCCCGGCGAGGCGGAACUGAGAUCUCUCUCUUGGUUAUCAUGUGACGGGCUCUGGAUUUAAUGGAGGAGAAAGGGUGGAAAAGGCCGAGGAUCCAAACUGGCGAGCUUUCUGGUCUCCGCGGCCCUCCCCGCUCUCCGGCCGGCGGCGCUGCCAGGGUAUAUUUCCCUUUUUUCGACUCUGCAAC
rnacentral:lncRNA from 1 species